GCCGCUAUAGCUCAGUGAUAGAGCAACUGUUUUGUAAACAGUAGGUCGGGGGUUUGAAUCCCUCUAGCGGCU
rnacentral:tRNA from 1 species